UCAUCUCUUCGACACCAGCCCCUAAGAUUUCUCUAACAACCGCUCCUAUGUAUGCUUCUCCAAUUGCUUCUUUGCUGUCAACAGCUACUCCUCCAUCUUCACCCCUUGAAUCUUCUCCAACUUCCUCUCUUUCUACUUCUCUCAUGCUCUUGUUGGUUCUCCCAACGAUGGUUGGCUUCAUCUCUUUAACUGGAGCAAGUAGGCCUUGAAGCUAUUGGUUUAGCUAUGUCUCUCCUCCCUACUUUAACCUCCAUUUCAGUAAGUUUGUGUAUUGCAUUUCACUUUAGCAUAAUGUGAAAGUUCCCUCUCACAGAUUAAACAUUGAAGUUCCCUUUCAACGGUAUUUGAUGGAUGACCCACCAAUAUGAUUGCAGAGAUCAAUGCCAUGUUCAGCAGUG
rnacentral:lncRNA from 1 species